AGUUCAUCAGUAGAGUGUUCAUUAGUAGAUUUGCUAUGUUUUGUUCAACUUAAAACUUUCAAUUAAAUCAUAAUAUAUUUUUUUGGUUAAGUGUUGCCCUGUAUAUGUGUGUGUGUGUGUAUGUAUAUAUAUAUAUAUAUAUACACACACACACACACACAAAUAUAUAGCUUUGUUAUAUUCAAUGUCUGUUGCAGAAUUAUUUGUUACUGCUGCUGAGGAGGUCUAGCAUUAAGGGUCUAACACUGCUCUUAACUCACUUGCUCUUAUUUCAGUACGUGAAAUCUUUAGUUUUAAAAGGGCAUUAGGUUGGUGUAAAAUUCUAAGAGCAGUGAAAGAUGACAGCUCAGUGGUAGCCUAGUGGCUAAGGUGUUGAGCUGCCAAUCGGAUGGUUGUGAGUUGAAUCCCAGGUGCACCAAACUACCACUGUUGUGCCCCUGAGCAAGGCCUUUAGCCCUCAGUUGCCCAGUUGUAUAAAAAUGAGAUGUAAGUCGCUCUGGAUAAGUAAAUGCUGUAAAUGUAAAAAAAUGUUGUUGUUUUUUUUGUGAUUAUCGAUGCUAAUGCUUGAUUUCGAUUUGACAAAUACCUAGCACGCCCUGCGAUGGAUUUGCAAUACGCCUGAGAUAGGCACAAGCUCCCGAGAAGUUCGGAUAAGCGGUAGAAAAUGAAUGACUGAAUGAAAUACCUAGCACAGGAAUUUUCUUUUAAACUGUGUGCAUUUAUUGCAUAAUACAGCAGAAGGUCUAUAAAAGUCCCUUAUCCAGAAAGACCUGCACAUAUCUUAUUUUAUACAAUCGAGCAGUUAAGGGCCUUGCUGAAGGACCCAGAUCUGGUAAUUGAACAGAACCUUCCAAUCUUUAGUCCAACGUCUUAAACACUGAGCUACCUUUUGCCCUGUGAUGUCCCCUAAUUCAUGUUGCAAGCUAAAAUUACAAUUGCGAGUUUGCUUGCUUUUUUGCGUUAAUUUCUGCAGUCACAAAAUUGAUUGCAGAAUUUUUGUUAAAUGGAAUUGCAUUAUUUUUUUAGCUUUAAAACAGCUGGAUCUGAGGUGUUGGUUACCUCUUGCUAAGUCUUUUUUAUUUCUCUGUUCACUCGAGACUCAAUCUUUUUAUUUUAUCUGCUUAACUGCUUGUCUGUUUUCAUUUUCAUGAGCUCUGCAAGUUAUAAGGUUUGAGCUUGAGCCUAAACUAAAUCUUUCAUACUAACACACAGAUCUUUAUUUCCUGUAUCAACUGUAAGUUAUAAAGUAAACAUAAAUUAGUUUUUGAAGAAGACAAUUAACACUUGGAGUGCAGACAUAACUGAUGUUGUCCACAAGGUGGCAGUCUUUACUCUAAAUUCGUUGGCUGCAGAUUUUAAAAUGUUUGGACUUGAUGCAGUGGAUAUUAAAAGGUUUAUACGCCCCUGUUAAGAUAUGGCAGGCUUUUGUGAUGUAAAAAAAUAAUAAAACGUUAUUUUUGUUCUAAA